rnacentral:lncRNA from 1 species
CACAUCUCCCACACAGACUAACUGAUGGCUUAUCACACUAUAGACGCUGUUUCCAGGAAGAUCAGCCUCGAUUUUGAAGCAGAUCAGAUUGGGAGAGCUCAGAAAAUGCAGAGCUCAGCAACCUCAGAGAGAAGAAUAAAACUCAGCAACAUGAAGUCCAUAUACCAGAAGCAGAACCAGAAGCUGAAGCAGAAGGGAUCCCUGGUUUGCAGACUGAAUAUUUUGGCUAUUUUGUGCAAUUCAAAGAAGUUGAUGGUUUCAUUCGCACUGGAUAGGAAUGGUUUGAAAGUAUCCCUGAAAGUAGAAGAAAACUGCAGUUGUCUGUACAGAAUAACUAAAGAAACAGAAAUUCAUUCACAGUAAAAUCUGUCCCAAAGACACUUUCUGCAUCGGGAAGCUACAGUUUAUUAUUAGAAGAUCCCUGGGGUUUCCAGGAUCUUUGAGGUGCAUGGAAGAAGGC